rnacentral:rRNA from 1 species
GACGAACGCUGGCGGCGUGCUUAACACAUGCAAGUCGAACGGAAAGGCCAUGCUCUUGUGGGGUGCUCGAGUGGCGAACGGGUGAGUAACACGUGAGUAACAUGCACCUGACAUUGGGAUAAAUUCAGGAAAAUGCGGAUAAUACAGGGUAGGAGCUCCUGCAGCAUGGUGGGGGUUGGUAAGUUUCGGCGGUUGGGGAUGGUCUAGCGGCUUAUCAGCCUGUUGGUGAGGUAGUGGCUGACCAAGGCUUUGACGGGUAGCCGGCCUGAGAGGGUGACCAGCCUCAUUGGUACUGAGGUACGCACCAGUCGCCAACGGUAGGCAGUGGUGGGAAGUAUGGCACAGUAGGCGGAAGUCAGAUGUGGAGGCCCCGCGUUCGGAAUGAUGUCUUACUAGUUGAGAACCGCUGUCGCCUGAAAUGAGGCGUGAUUGACGGUAAUGAGUAAGGAAGCACCGGCUAACUACGUG